CAUCAGGUACUGAUAUUCUGUACAGUAUUUACGAGCGCGGCGAACAGCCGUGCACAGGGGAGAGUGACGCGGUGCAUCAAUCCGAAAACAACAAUCAAACAGCUUGAUCUAUAUGCGACCUCUUUCCCAGGGCGCGAGAGCGAGUGCAGCGUAUGGACGAAGCGUGUAACUGCGCUUCCGUGGCAGGUGCGAGGAUGCGCAGAGCAAUUACCUACAGCACAAUGUACUAGCGACAUGAAUUGGCUUGUCAGGGAGCGCAUCUGCAAGAAAAUUUGCAGGUGCUCUUGCCGAUCGGUUAAGAUGAAAGUUUUCGCGAAGUACGCGGGAAGCUGUAUUCAUUGAUGUUGUCGGUGCACGAAGUCAUGCAAAAUAGCGAGGUGCAGCGAACUUUCAGGAACUGUCGCGAAGUGCCAGCUCGGUGACCCCGCCUGCGCGCGGCUCGCUCGGUCCUGGGACAUCCUCCGCCUGGGACAUCCUCAACCCCCCUCCUCCCUGCCACCCCCUCCCCAAGCGUCCUACGAGACAUGACUCGGAGCCAGAUUUACAUCAGCUGGCAUGCGAGGAGGCAUGGAUGGGAGGGGUGAGCACUGAGCAGGGGGCUCGCCCCCGCCUCGUAAAACGCGUGUCGACCACGGCAAAUGCCAGCAAUGACAUCAUUCGGGUAUUCAUCGGCACCGGUAGCUGGGUGCAGGGCUAAGUUCAGGAUGUGUUGUCCUUGCAGCCGACCGCUGGAACAGGCCAAGGGGCGGGCGGCAGGGUUGCAGUGUUGCACCGUACGCUGCCAAACCCACAUAUGUCGGGAUGUUGUGUUGCGCACUGGAUGUCAAGUCAGUUCCAAGUCGUUCUCGCGCUUUGUAAUACGCAGGGAAAACGGUAUGUUUAAUGACGAUGCCUUCAAGCGCGACAAGUGUCUAGGACCAAUGUGGAAGCGUGUGCUCAUGUCCAACUCAGCACACGGGAUGGCCAUGGAUGUCCCAGCCUGUUCCUGACACAGCGUAUUUUCCCACAUCCCAUGUGCUCGGCGUCUUCGGGUGCUGGGACUGUCCCCUCUGUAACAUCCGCAUUCAUGUACUACCACUCAAGGACAGCAUACGAGCACGUGGUUCGUACUAGUACGCGCUAGAACGUACAACGCACUGUGCAACCGUGGCGGGCGGGUGCACUCAAUGUAAGGGGCGGG
rnacentral:lncRNA from 1 species